GACGAACGCUGGCGGCGUGCCUAACACAUGCAAGUCGAACGGAAAGGCCCUGCUUUUGUGCGGUGCUCGAGUGGCGAACGGGUGAGUAACACGUGAGUAACCUGUACCUGACUUUGGGAUAACUUCAGGAAACUGGGGCUAUUACCGGAUAGGAGCUAUUGAUGCAUGGUGGGCGUUGGUAAGAUUCGGCGGUUGGGGAUGGACUCGCGGCUUAUCAGCCUGUUGGUGGGGUAGUGGCUUACCAAGGCUUUGACGGGUAGCCGGCCUGAGAGGGUGACCAGCCACAUUGGGACUGAGAUACGGCCCAGACUCCUACGGGAGGCAGCAGUGGGGAAUAUUGCACAAUGAGCGGAAGCCUGAUGCAGCGACGCCGCGUGCGGGAUAACGGCCUUCGGGUUGUAAACCGCUUUCUCCUGUAACGAGGCGUGAGUGACGGUAAUGGGUAAAAAAGCACCGGCUAACUACGUG
rnacentral:rRNA from 1 species